rnacentral:rRNA from 1 species
ACGGAAGGCAGCAGUGAGGAAUAUUGGUCAAUGGGCGGGAGCCUGAACCAGCCAAGUAGCGUGUAGGAAGACUGCCCUAUGGGUUGUAAACUACUUUUGUCCAGGAAUAAAAAGGGCCACGUGUGGCUCGUUGCAGGUACUGGUUGAAUAAGGACCGGCUAAUUCCGUGCCAGCAGCCGCGGUAAUACGGAAGGUCCGAGCGUUAUCCGGAUUUAUUGGGUUUAAAGGGAGCGCAGGCGGAGUGAUAAGCCAGCCGUUAAAUAGUCGGGCUCAACCCGAUCUUGCGGUUGGAACUGUCGCCCUUGAGUGCGGGAGAGGAAGGCGGAACUCGUGGUGUAGCGGUGAAAUGCAUAGAUAUCACGAAGAACUCCGAUUGCGAAGGCAGCUUUCCGGUCCGUGACUGACGCUGAGGCUCGAAGGCGCGGGUAUCAAACAGGAUUAGAUACCCUGGUA